CAGGCGUUUGGUUGGCCGGCAUCGGGUCCUUCCUCCUUUUCCUCGUCCCUGAGAGGCUGAUGUCAAGAUGAACGACACAGUGACAGUCAGAACCCGGAAGUUCAUGACAAACCGGCUGCUUCAGAGGAAGCAAAUGGUUGUCGAUGUCCUCCAUCCGGGCAAAGCCACAGUCCCCAAGACUGAGAUCCGGGAGAAGCUGGCCAAAAUGUACAAGACCACCCCUGACGUGGUGUUCGUCUUCGGCUUCAGGACCCAGUUUGGUGGCGGCAAGACGACGGGCUUCGCCAUGGUCUACGACUCUCUCGACUACGCUAAGAAAAACGAGCCCAAGCACAGACUGGCCAGGCACGGUCUCUAUGAGAAGAAGAAGUCCUCCAGAAAACAGCGCAAGGAACGCAAGAACAGAAUGAAGAAAGUACGAGGCACCAAGAAAGCCAGUGUGGGCGCUGCUGGCAAAAAGGUAAUGUGGCCAUUCUCCCUAUGGUACAUUCCUCUUGUUCAAGGGUGGGUGCAUUUUAAUAGUCACAUUUUUACAGUAGCUCCAUUUAUUCUCCUUCAUCUGCACUGUAAAUCAGCAGAGUUGGUAAAUGCAUAAUACUGGAUGGCUGCUUUCACCCAAGCGAAAUUCACAUCAUUGCAGAUGGAGGGAAUAGGGAACUUUUUGAGACUAUUGGAACGCACCCCAAGUUGAACUUAUUUCGUAUUAGUUCAUCAUUAAUUACAUGCAUAUCUUUCCUUCUUCCCAAGUCUGUUAGUGCUGUCUUUAUUUAUACGUUCUUACUGUUUUAAUAUACAUUGUCAUCUUCUCUUAUCUACUGUUCUUCGGGACUGUAGAAGGUAAAUGUUGUUUUCAUCAGUAGACUAACUGCUGUGUGCAGAUACUACUACUUAGGAGUGAUGUUCCUAGCUAAAUCCUGUUAGACUUCAUCCCAAUCUUCCCAUUAUAUAACCAAAAAAGCUACAGUGCCUUUUUACAUGUGGAUUUACAUUGGGUUGAUCCACAUUGGGUUUCAGUUCAGGUACCUACCAGUUGAUACUUAGUUGCUCAUUCUAACUCAUGACACUAAUGUUGGCGAGUGUGAACUGAGCACUAAUAGUGGUUUAGAUUCCAGGUUGAACCGUAUAGUGUGGUCCCGUAUAGUGUGGUCCCUACUCAACAGUAGGUUGCCUAGUGGAUCUCUGAAAGACUAGGAACUAGAGCAGUUUCUCAAUUAAUUCCUUAAAGGACCCCAAUGCAGUACACAUUUUUGUUUUAGCCCAGCACUAACACGCAUAAUUCAACUAAUCAAGUCUCAGUGCUGGGCUAAAACACACAUGUGCAUCCCCAAGAAUCCUGCAGGAAUGUGUGCAUUUAUUGACAUGUCCGCAUCUGGUGCUCAGCAUUCAGUUUUGGCUUUGUAUUAUUUUCCUGGGUGGAAAUGGGCCCCAACUGAAUUAAAUUAAUCUAUGGCUCAAAUCUUAUGCCAUUCAGAGAUCUAGUAUAGGAGUGUGAAUUAUUUUAAAAGUUUAACAUUACUUUCUUCAUCCUUUUGUCUUUUAUUUUGCCCCCCACGGAUUUUUUUUUUUUACAGAAAUGAGGUGUCUGUUACAGUGAGCCUGGAGAAUCAGGGAUGUUCCUCGUGCUCAAGAUGUUCUUGUAUAUUGUCAUCGAAUAAAAAAAACUUUGGAAAAAAAA